AAUAAACCUCGUAAUCCUCCAUAGUUUCAGAACUAUUUAACAUACACUGUUCUUUCUGGCAAAGAACAAUUGUUAGAGGAAAAAUGGAGUACUUCAGGUUGGGAGAGCAGGAUUUUUCAUCAAUAAAAACCCAAGAACACAGAAUUUACACAGAAGGAACUCUGGGACUGGAAACAGAGUGCAGUAGCAGUGUUACCAAAUAUGGGAGAAUCUGCAACUACUCUGGACCUGUAUCUCUGCACUGGGAAUGCAUAACAUAAAUGGAUUUCUUUUUAAUUUACUAUUUUUUUUGUUAUUCCAAUGGAGGAAAAUAAACAGUUCCCUUAUCCCUAGGGUGGUAGCAAGCCCUAACAAGGAAAAGCAGGACACAUUCCUUCCUUCCUUCCUUUAUAACCAGUCACUGAAUUGCUCCCAACACAUUCCAGAUCUGGCAGAAUAGCUUAAUUGUCUUCACCUGGAGGCCACUGCCUGAAUUCCUGUCAGUUAAUAUAGCACCUCUGGAGUGAGACACUACAAUUUCUUUCUGAUGAAAGUGGGUUAAGCACCCAGCCCCAUGGUCAUGAGCAGUUUCAUAGGCUCAUUUGCAUAUGAAGAUUUAUGAGUUUCUUGGGUGUAACUGUGCCUAUAAAAGUUCGAGUCUAUAAGUGUCAUCAAAUGUAAUUACUCCCUAAAGACUUAGAACAGAUAUGAGAAAGAUGAAGAACUGUUUAUUGUAAUAAGUUGUGGUUAUGAGUGAAAUCUGCUUCCUUACAAUGAAAGGUCUGCAUGGAGAAGGGAGUGUUGCUGGUUUGCUUUCACUAAUGGUGAGAAAGGUAAAUUUCUGUAACAAUUCAUGAUCAGAUGUGCAGUUUUAUUCCACAAGGCAGCUGAAAUUUUGCAAAGCUAUUCAGACAAUAAAAAAUUCUUGUCACAAAACAUUGUCAACCAGUACUCUGGGUCAAAAUUUCUCAUUUCUGUAGUUACCAUUCACACAGAAUGUCAAGAGGAGUCUCAAGAUUCAAAUCCUAAAUUAGUAGUAAACCAAAAAAAAAAUAUACUUUUUCCAAUUAGACAGUUAGACUAGAAACAUUAAAAUAUGUAAGUGUAGGAACUCCAAAACAAGUAGUUUUUCCUUCUUAUGCACUUGCUCUAUUCCUAC